rnacentral:miRNA from 1 species
CCGCGUUCCGGGUUCGGCGCUGCCUCCGAGGCGCCGCGCCGCGAUCCGG